rnacentral:rRNA from 2 species
GGUCUACCCAUUGGUCAGGCUUAAUUGUCUGUACUGGUGAGAUAAAUCUCUACCUUCUGAGGAACUUUCAUGUCAUUAAUUUGGUGUGAUUGGAAAUCAGGACUGUUACUUUGAAAUUAGAGUGUUUAAAGCAGGCUAACGUCUGAAUACAUUAGCAUGGAAUAAUGAAAUAGGACGGACUGAUCCUAUUUCGUUGGUUUCUAGGAUCACCGUAAUGAUUAAUAGGGAUAGUUGGG